CCUACGGGAGGCAGCAGUGAGGAAUAUUGGUCAAUGGGCUUACGCCUGAACCAGCCAAGUCGCGUGAGGGAAGACUGCCCUAUGGUUUUUAACCCCUUUUUGUCAGGAAGAAAUUGGUGCUGCGUGUAGCGUUAUCGAGAGUACCUAAAGAAAAAGCAUCGGCUAGCUCCGUGCCAGCAGCCGCGGUAAUACGCAGGAUGCGAGCGUUCUCCGGAUUUAUUGGGGUAAAGGGGUGCGUAGGCGGAAUGCCAAGUCAGCGGGAAAAUCGCGGGGCUAAACCUAGGUUCGCAGUUGAAACUGGCGUUCUAGAGUGGGCGAGAGGUAGGAGGAAUGCGUGGUGUAGCGGUGAAAUGCGUAGAUA
rnacentral:rRNA from 1 species